CUGGCCAAGUGUGUUGGACUUGAUUGAUU
rnacentral:piRNA from 1 species